UGAGGAAUAUUGGUCAAUGGGGCGAGAGCCUGAACCAGCCAAGUCGCGUGAGGGAGGAAGGUCCUACGGAUUGUAAACCUCUUUUGCCGGGGAGCAAAGGGGCCAUUGAUGGCAGGAUGAGCGUACCCGGAGAAAAAGCAUCGGCUAACUCCGUGCCAGCAGCCGCGGUAAUACGGAGGAUGCGAGCGUUAUCCGGAUUUAUUGGGUUUAAAGGGUGCGCAGGCGGCGCGCCAAGUCAGCGGUCAAAGUUCCGGGCUCAACCCGGUGUCGCCGUUGAAACUGGCGUGCUCGAGUGCGUGCGAGGAAGGCGGAAUGCGUUGUGUAGCGGUGAAAUGCAGUAGAUAUGACGCAGAACUCCGAUUGCGAAGGCAGCUUUCCAGCGCGCUACUGACGCUGAGGCACGAAAGCGUGGGGAUCGAACAGGAUUAGAUACCCUGGUAGU
rnacentral:rRNA from 1 species